rnacentral:snoRNA from 1 species
AUCCUUUUGUACUGCAUUUCAUAAGCAUGAUGUGUGGGUUUUCAUAACAAUGUGUGAGAUAUGCCUCCCUCAAAUCUUGUUAUGAUUUUGGAACAUUACCUCUCUGACA